UCAUGUGUCUGCAAGAUGAGCAAUACAGAGAGAGACAUCACAGCUUUACCUCAGCAGGUUGUAUUCCUUAACCUUAAUAGAAAUUCAAUGAUUCUUCGAGAUGGUGAGACAGGAAAGACUAUGUGGCAAGGAGCAGAAGACUUAUCGUUUCCAGGAGUUGAACAUGAAGCUCGAGUGCCCAAGAAAAUCUUAAAAUGUAAAUCUGUGUCCAGAGAAAUAAACUUUGCAUCUGAAGAAGAGAUGGAGAAUUUCAGACUAGAACAGAAAGUCUACUUUAAAGGACAGUGUUUAGAAGAGUGGUCCUUUGAGUUUGGCUUUGUAAUGCCCAAUUCUGUGAACACCUGGCAGUCCAUGAUAGAAGCAGCACCAGAGUCUCAGAUGAUGCCAGCUAAUGUUUUAACUGGCAACGUCAUCAUAGAAACAAAGUUCUACGAUGCUGAACUUCUUGUCAGUACAUCGAGGGUCAGGCUCUUCUAUGUUUGAAAUACAAAAUGUCACUUAUUUGAUUUUCUACCCACCUUCAUUCUCUUUCCAAUUUACAUUUAUUCUCUUCUUGGAAAGAAAAAAACAAACAUUUGUUGGGUGCUAUGGACUUGAACGCAUUCCGGGACUAUGCCCAUGUAACCAAACUCAGAGAUGUGGGCACACCAUGCAGCACAUUGCACAUGACCCUGUCCUCACGUGGAGCAGAAUCCAUUUUAUUCAGCUAUUGACUUCUGCAUUCUCCACUACUAUUUCAGAUUGUUCACAACAGACUGCUAAUCUGCAUGUUUUGGUUUCUCUUGUUUUUUCUUUCUUUUUCAGUAUACUGUUACGUAGAAAAUAAUGUCUCCCUGGAUAGCAAAUGGUUAGGCUGCUGUAAGCUCAGCGUCGAUGAAAUGUGCAGGAGAGUUUGCCCACCCAGGCAUGGAAAAGUUAGUUUAUGAGGUGGAGCAAGUUUCCAUUUUCUUGAGGCGUUAUAAACUAUGCCUUCUGGAGUGUAUUAGUCAGUCACGAUACCUUGGAGUACCAAGUUAUGGUCUGUGGAAAUAAAAUGAUGAUUGGUGUUUUUUUAACAGGUGUUUUUUUUUAAAUGUUUUUAUUUAUUUAAUCCUGGGACGCAGAAGCUAUACAUCAAUAAAUGUCAGCAUUUAUAGGGCAGGAUUUGUUUUCUUUUAACAAAUGUCUGGAUCAUUUGCUUGUUUCUUUUUUAACAUCUAGUUCUUUCUAUUGAUUGCUGGACCAAAUAUAUAGAUUCUAUUGGCAUAAGGCUGCCUAAACUUUGUGAAGCAAAGAAUACAUUGUAUGCCUAGUGAACAAGAUAAACAUAAGAAUCCAGAAAUAUAUUUAAGAUAGUUUUACAAUAGAAUAAUUCAAUGGUUCUUUCAGUGAUUUUAUAGAAUAGAAUCUAAAAAGAAAUGUAAACAGGAGUCCUAUGUAUAUGGUAGGAUAAAGGGGGUUCAAUAAAGAUCUUUUUUUCUGCAUAGUCUCUCUUAACAACUUAAAUGGGCACCGUCAUGAAAUAAAAAAAUUGAUAUGUUGUAGUACUUAAGUACUGCAACAUAUCUCUAAUAUACUUUAAUUUAAAAAAAGUGAUUUUAAACCAGUUUAAAAUCACUUUUAAAUUCGGCCACUAGGGGUCGCCCUCCUAGUGGCCGAAUGCAUUCGGCAGUGACGUCACUACAGAAUUUUGACUCAUUUAAGCCUGGCAAUGAGUCGAAAUUCAGUCACUGCGGUGCUCGCUCCCGCCUGUCAAUCAGACAGGUGGGAGCGAGCGCUUUGAAGGAAAGUUACGUGUUCACCUAUACAGUAUGCCUCCAGUUUCCCCACUACAACUCCCAGCAUGCCCUGACAGCCAAUAGAUGUCAGGGCAAGCUGGGAGUUGCAGUGGGGAAACAGCUGGAGGCACCCUGUAUAGGUGAACUAAGGGCGGAAGUGUCGGCCCCAGCAGGCAUCAGUGACAUGGUGCCUGCUGGGGAAGUCUGCCUGGUAGACACUACCAGGCAGACAAAAGGCAUUUUUAAUAUGUAAAAAAAAUUAAAGGCAGGGAGGGGGUUAGGGAUAGAUGGGUAAUAGGCAGGGACAUAAAAAAGAAAAAAGGUGAUGGUGGGAGCUACCCUUUAACUCCAUAUUAUUGUUUCUUUUAUCAUUUACAUAUUUUAAAGUGUAAAAUGGAUUCGGAACAUCUUCAGACCCUUUCGUUUUUUUUGUUUUUUUUAAAUGUUAUGUUGCGUCCUUUGUGCUAAAAAAAGAAAUAUAGUUUUCCCCAUUGUUCUGUACUCAAUACCCCAUAAUGACAAAGUGAAAACAAAAUGGUUAAAAAUCUUUGCUUAUUUAUUGAAAAGGAAAAAUGGAAAUAUUGCAUUGACAUGAUUAUUCAGACCCUUUACUCAGUUGAAAUAUCUUUGGCAGCGAUUACCUGUCUUUUUGAGUAUGAUGCCACAAGGGAUUUGUUUAUUGGUUUUUGCCAUUCUUCUCUGUAGAUCUACAAGCUCUUUCAGAUUAGAUGGGGACCAUCAAUACAGCCAUUUUCAGGUCUCUCCAGUGGUGUUCCAUUGGGCUCAAGUCAGGUCCAGAGAACUUUGGUUUAGGCUUUAAUCUGGUUUCUCACAGUCUUUUUUUUUUUUUUUUGCCAAACUCCAGGCACACUUUCAUGUGUCUCUUACUGAGAAGAAGUUUUAUUCUGGUCAUUUUGCAAUGAAGCCCGGAUUGGAGGAGUGUUGCAUUGAUGGUUGACCUUCUAGACAUUUCUCUCAUCUGCACCCAGGAUGCUUGAAGCUCAGCCAGAUUAACCAUUGGCUUCUUGGUCACCUCUCUUAUCAGUGCCUUUUCUCCUAAUUUCUUAGGGGGAGAUAUCAUUGUUCUCUUGGGAAAGUGUGUUUUGAAGCAAUUUAUUUUUGCUUUGGUUUUGCUUAUGUGCGACAUAUUUAUCAUACUAUGGAACAGGGGUUGAUAAAUUUGGCUCACAUAAUCAAAUAACAAUGGGGGAGAUUUAUCAAAACCUGCCCAAAGGUUUCCCAUGGCAACCAAUCAGAUUGCUUCUUUCAUUUUACAGAGGCCUUGUGCAAAAUGAAAGAAGUGACCUGAUUGGUUGGUAUGGGCAACUUUUCCUCUGGACAGGUUUUGAUAAAUCUCCCCCAAUAUGAUUUCUCCCUCCCCUUCUCUGCAAGUUUUCUGCAUGAAAAGUCGCAGUAGCGACUAUUUGGGUGACAUUUGCGCUUGAUAAAUCUGCUACCACUGCAAAGUGAAAAUUUAAAUAGAUAUUUGAAAUGUCAUUUGUAGCUUUUUGCUUACAGCCAAAAGUUGCACAAAAGUGCUUUGGCGCACGUGACAUUUCAUGCGCCAAAUAAAAGCAAAAAAAAAAUAAAAGUUCUUUAAAACAAUAAUUAAAUGUCCCCCUUAGUUUGGGGCAGCCAGCUCAAGGAAGAUUCCUGGAUGUUCCAAAGAAUAAUUGUAGCCACUGUGCUAUUGGGAGCUUUCAGUGCAGCUGAAAUGAAAUUUGUACCUUUCUUUAGAUAUCUGCCUCCACACAAUCCUGUUGUGCUCUACAGGCGGUUCUUUCCAACUCUUGGCUUGUUUUUUGCUCUGAUAUGGGUUGUCAGCUGUGAGAUCUUAUAUAGAUAGGGCUGUGUCUUUCCUGUCCAAUCUUUCCUGUCCAAUCAAUUUACCUCAGGUUACUCCAAUCAAGGUGUAGAAACAUCUCAGAGAUCAAGAGAAAUGGGAGGUCCCCCAGAAGUAAAUUUCAAGUGUCAUAAACAAAGGUCUUAAUAUUUAUGUCCAUGUGAAAUUUUAGUUUUUCUUAUAUAUUUGGAAACAUUUCUAAAAUUCUGUUUUCACAUUCUCAUUAUGGGACAGAUUGAUGAAUUAAUACUUUUUCCUCAACAAUACAAAGAAAUAAAAAGGGUCUGAAGACUUUCAGAAUGCAUUGUAUAUGAGGUAUAGAAGUUGAUGUAGUCAUUUGCCCAUAUAGCCAUUGUUAAUCAAAUACAAAAACAACUAUUUAUACCCAGAUGGACAGAAUUAUCAAUAAUAUUGCAGGCUUAAGUUCUGGCUGUAUGUAAACAUUGUUAUUAUGAGCAAUAUCUGUGAAACAUUGAUUAAAAUGUCUCUCAGCUUGU